rnacentral:pre_miRNA from 1 species
CAUCUACUCCCUCCGUUCGGAAUUACUUGUCACGGAAAUGGAUGUAUCUAGACAUAUUUUAGUUCUAGAUACAUCCAUUUCCGAGACAAGUAAUUCCGAACGGAGGGAGUAUAUC